rnacentral:rRNA from 1 species
AACGAACGCUGGCGGCAGGCUUAACACAUGCAAGUCGAACGCCCCGCAAGGGGAGUGGCAGACGGGUGAGUAACGCGUGGGAAUCUACCUAGUUCUACGGAACAACAGUUGGAAACGACUGCUAAUACCGUAUACGCCCUACGGGGGAAAGAUUCAUCGGAAUUAGAUGAGCCCGCGUAAGAUUAGCUAGUUGGUGGGGUAAUGGCCUACCAAGGCGACGAUCUUUAGCUGGUCUGAGAGGAUGAUCAGCCACACUGGGACUGAGACACGGCCCAGACUCCUACGGGAGGCAGCAGUGGGGAAUAUUGGACAAUGGGCGCAAGCCUGAUCCAGCCAUGCCGCGUGAGUGAUGAAGGCCUUAGGGCUGUAAAGCUCUUUCACCGAUGAAGAUAAUGACGGUAGUCGGAGAAGAAGCCCCGGCUAACUUCGUGCCAGCAGCCGCGGUAAGAC